GCCGGAGUGGCGGAAUUGGUAGACGCAAGGGACUUAAAAUCCCUCGGUCCGCAAGACCGUGCCGGUUCGAGUCCGGCCUCCGGCACCA
rnacentral:tRNA from 2 species